UGGGGAAUCUUGCACAAUGGGCGAAAGCCUGAUGCAGCGACGCCGCGUGCGGGAUGAAGGCCUUCGGGUUGUAAACCGCUUUCAGCAGGGACGAGGCCGCAAGGUGACGGUACCUGCAGAAGAAGCCCCGGCUAACUACGUGCCAGCAGCCGCGGUAAUACGUAAGGUCCGAGCGUUGUCCGGAAUCAUUGGGCGUAAAGGGUACGUAGGCGGAUAAGCAAGUUAGAAGUGAAAUCCUAUAGCUCAACUAUAGUAAGCUUUUAAAACUGCUCAUCUUGAGGUAUGGAAGGGAAAGUGGAAUUCCUAGUGUAGCGGUGAAAUGCGCAGAUAUUAGGAGGAAUACCGGUGGCGAAGGCGACUUUCUGGCCAUAUACUGACGCUGAGGUACGAAAGCGUGGGUAGCAAACAGG
rnacentral:rRNA from 1 species